rnacentral:lncRNA from 1 species
GAGAUGUGUUUCCUAGACAGCUUCCACAGAAGAGGGAUAUUGAAACUUUCCUAUUGUGAGACUGAAUAUGACACUGAUAACCAGUUUAGAAAAUAAACUCUUCUUUAGUUCCUAAUAAUUGUCAGUUCACAAGCUCUAUAUUCAUUUUAACAUUAAUGCAUGUGAGAAUAAAAGCAUGGUUGUUUUCUGUACUGUCACCUACAGUCAGAUUAGAGGAAUACAGAGGCUGUAUGAAACCAUAAUUAUGAUGUAGUGCAGCUGGAGAAGCUAACAAAGAAAAGCAACCUCUCUUGUUCUUCUUGUAACUGUUAUGAAGCCGUGGUCUGUCCUGCUACUAUCAUUGAGCUGGGCUGAAUGGUUGAUGGCCAGGUGAGCUAGGGUCAGACUGCCAGAGAGGGGAUCAUGUAUAUUCAGUAGUGCUACAAACACAGGGCCAUGAACUAGCUCCAGAGGAAUGAGGAUCUUUUUCUCUUUAUUUCUCUGAAAGAGGAAGGAAGAAAUGCAUACUGGCAAUAUAAUAUAAUUAGCCAUCAGAUGUCUUGCUGAAUUAAGACAUUCUCACUGAGGACGGCUCUUCAAAGGGCUAGUUGGGAAAAUUUAAAGGUGACCUUAAAAAAAAAAGAUUGUAUUAUAAGAACUGAAACAUACUUGCUGGCAAUAUUAAGAUAGAAGUUAAAUGCAUUUGGCUGCGCUGCAUAGAGGAAAUCAAUGUUCUCAAUUAGCUAAAUUUGAGGUCACUGGGUGUUUGUUUUCCCAGACCCUGAGGAUUUAUGAGGUCCAACAACCCAAUUCUUUCAGAAUGAGUCACCGUCCUCUCACCUUCCUUCCCCACCACCUCCCCACUCCACCUCCAUGGCAUCCAAGGCUCAGAUAAGUACACAACCCUUUGUGUUCUGGAUCUGUCUCUCACCUCUUCCUAGGGGAAUGGAAUGGUGUGGGCGUGACAGCCCCUUGUGAUUCCUUCCCAGUUCCACUGACAUUAGUCCCUCCUUCAGAGUCACGCCCUGGAGGUGUGCAGAGAAGACCCAGCUCCAGGAAGAGGGGAAGGGUACAGCACCACAACCAUAAUGUCACCUCCUCCUCCUCCUCCCCAAACACACAAGUGAGCCUUGAGGGAAAUCAGGAGCCAAAGAGAGUCAUUCUGUUGGGAGAGAGGCAUGGUGUGGUGUUGAGUGAGGUGCAGAAAGUGGGAAGAGGGAGUAGUGGACUUGAUUGGUUGAAUGCAGCCCUCGAGAUUUACUGUUUGCACCUCUUUUAGGUGCCCC